UACGGAGGGUGCGAGCGUUGUCCGGAAUCACUGGGCGUAAAGGGCGCGUAGGCGGCCGUGUAAGUCACUUGUGAAAUCCCGGGGCUCAACCCCGGGGCUGCAGGUGAGACUGCGUGGCUAGAGCACGGUAGAGGCGAGUGGAAUUCCUGGUGUAGCGGUGAAAUGCGCAGAUAUCAGGAGGAACACCGGUGGCGAAGGCGGGUCUCUGGGCCGAUACUGACGCUGAGGAGCGAAAGCGUGGGGAGCGAACAGG
rnacentral:rRNA from 1 species